AUCGCCCUUUCAUUUCCAUCGAUCCGACGGCAGAAAGUGAUAGCCCUUUGUUACUUUCUCUGUAUUUCCUCGUCUCCGGGAGCUGCCAGACCACACAUGCUGCCUCCCUUGGGCUCAGGACAGCCACAGGCUGAGUUCUGCACAACGGAUGGGUGGAAGUGGGGAAGACUAGUUCCAGAGAGAGCUCAACACAAGCACACGCAAAGCCAUGGGCAGGUAGACGGGGCAUGCCUGAGCGCUUGAUGUUCGCGAGCCAGUGGUG